CGUGUAGCCCAGUUGGAUAGAGCGUUUGGCUACGAACCAAAAGGUCGCGAGUUCGAAUCUUGCCACG
rnacentral:tRNA from 1 species